rnacentral:rRNA from 1 species
GAUGAACGCUAGCGGCAGGCCUAACACAUGCAAGUCGAGGGGUAUAAUUACUUCGGUAAUUAGAGACCGGCGCACGGGUGCGUAACGCGUAUGCAAUCUACCUUGUACAGGGGGAUAGCCCAGAGAAAUUUGGAUUAAUAUCCCAUAAUAUUAUAGAUACACCUGUAUUUAUAAUUAAAGCUUCGGCGGUACAAGAUGAGCAUGCGUCCUAUUAGCUAGAUGGAGUGGUAACGGCACCCCAUGGCAACGAUAGGUAGGGGUCCUGAGAGGGAGAUCCCCCACACUGGUACUGAGACACGGACCAGACUCCUACGGGAGGCAGCAGUGAGGAAUAUUGGUCAAUGGUCGGAAGACUGAACCAGCCAUGCCGCGUGCAGGAAGACUGCCUUAUGGGUUGUAAACUGCUUUUGUAUGAGAAGAAUAAGAUCUACGAGUAGAUUGAUGACGGUAUCAUACGAAUAAGGAUCGGCUAACUCCGUGCCAGCAGCCGCGGUAAUACGGAGGAUCCAAGCGUUAUCCGGAAUCAUUGGGUUUAAAGGGUCCGUAGGCGGAUUAUUAAGUCAGGGGUGAAAGUUUGCAGCUCAACUGUAAAAUUGCCUUUGAUACUGAUAGUCUUGAAUGGUUAGGAAGUGGUUAGAAUAUGUAGUGUAGCGGUGAAAUGCAUAGAUAUUACAUAGAAUACCAAUUGCGAAGGCAGAUCACUACUAACUGAUUGACGCUGAUGGACGAAAGCGUGGGGAGCGAACAGGAUUAGAUACCCUGGUAGUCCACGCCGUAAACGAUGGAUACUAGCUGUUCGGCGCAAGCUGAGUGGCUAAGCGAAAGUGAUAAGUAUCCCACCUGGGGAGUACGUUCGCAAGAAUGAAACUCAAAGGAAUUGACGGGGGCCCGCACAAGCGGUGGAGCAUGUGGUUUAAUUCGAUGAUACGCGAGGAACCUUACCAGGGCUUAAAUGUAGACUGACAGGACUAGAGAUAGUUUUUUCUUCGGACAGUUUACAAGGUGCUGCAUGGUUGUCGUCAGCUCGUGCCGUGAGGUGUCAGGUUAAGUCCUAUAACGAGCGCAACCCCUGCCGUUAGUUACCAGCAUGUUAUGAUGGGGACUCUAACGGGACUGCCGGUGCAAACCGCGAGGAAGGUGGGGAUGACGUCAAAUCAUCACGGCCCUUACGUCCUGGGCCACACACGUGCUACAAUGGUAGGUACAGAGAGCAGCCACUGCGUGAGCAGGAGCGAAUCUAUAAAACCUAUCUCAGUUCGGAUCGUAGUCUGCAACUCGACUACGUGAAGCUGGAAUCGCUAGUAAUCGGAUAUCAGCCAUGAUCCGGUGAAUACGUUCCCGGGCCUUGUACACACCGCCCGUCAAGCCAUGGAAGUCGGGGGUACCUGAAGUCGGUGACCGUAAGGAGCUGCCUAGGGUAAAACUGAUAACUGGGGCU